GCACAUGUAUGCACACAUGUGCACGCACAUAUGCACAUGCAUACACUCACACUUGUAAGUAAGCACAUGUACACGUACACACAGACACAUGCAUGAACACACACACAUUCACUCAAGCAUAUGCAUAUGCACACAUGCACACAUGCACACAUGCACACACCAUGCACACAUGCACCAACUCAUGCAGCCAUGCGCCACUCACACAGGCCAAGACUUACCACUUCAGUAGAGCCCUUGCCUGCCUACCCAGGAUAUCAGGCUCCAGAAGGCUCUGCCCUCAUCUGGCCUUGGAAAGAUUCACCUCAAGCACCCACGGACAGUUCUGUAGUUGAGCCUGGCUCAAAGGCCAAUUAGAUCUCUAAGGAAACCUUGUGAACAGGCUUCCUUGCACUCUCCACCCUCUCCGUGAUGGUGCACGCCAGUAAUCUCAGAACUCAGGAGACUGAAGUAGGCACAUCAGGAAAAAGUUCAAGAUAACCAAUCUUCAGCUACAUGAUAAAUUUGAGAUCAACCUGGGUUACAUGAGGUCCUGUCUCAGAAAAAAAUAAAUAAAUAAAAGUAGCAGAGGGUGGAAGAACGUCUUCAUACGCACAGACAGGCUUUGUUGAAUCCAUUUUGAUUCUUUCAUCACAGGAUGUCUGAAGUACCCUUUGUGACAGACUUGUGGACUCCACCCUUGAGUUGUCAUCACGGAAGCCCUGACUCAUUGAAAUGUUACAGAGGAAGACCCAGGGCUGGGGGCUGGGCCAGCCCUGAUCUGCACAUGUGAGAGCUCGGCAUUCGCUGAAGAGCUGGGAUCGCAGCCUCCAUUAGGAGGCUUCUGUUCAUACCUUUGACUACUAAUCUAGCAGAUUUGCUGGCCCAAGAGGUCAAUGGCACCCCUUUCUGUGAGUCCAGCCUUCAUGUGCACAGACCCUUGAAGAGAGCUCCAGGGAGAAGCGGACAUGCUGGGCACACCUGGGGAAGAAUCUGUAAGGCUAGUGCACCCACUGACUCACUAGACUCCCAUCCCUACAGCAUCAUGAAGAUGGCUGAAAAGUUCACAUACAUGGGCUGUGUAUUCAGUGUGGUUCCCGUGGUCUGUGCACUUCUCAUCAAGAAUGUGAUCUUCAUUGUCUUAUUUGCUGUCACACAGAGGUCAUUUGGAUGACAGAUCUUGAAGCUACACAAUAGUGACCUUCAGCCAUGUCUCUCACAGAAGGAGCUGACAUGGGGGGGGGGGGCUAUGGAGGACCUGUGACACGAAUUGAGCCUGUAAUCAUAGGUGAUAUCUAAGGCUCAGGAUGUCCCCACCUGGUCCUGCCCACCCUCCUCAUCUCAUCCAUCAUUUAGGGAACGUAUUCUGCACCCUCAGGAAAGAGGAACCAAUUCCUAGAACACUCUAGUCAUUCCCCCUAAAUAGGUGGGUUUGUCUGAAAUAAAGACAAAGCAAAGUA